AGCCCUAAGUGGGUGGUAAACUCCAUCUAAGGCUAAAUAUGACCACGAGACCGAUAGCGAACAAGUACCGUGAGGGAAAGUUGAAAAGCACUUUGAAGAGAGAGUUCAAGAGUACGUGAAACCGUUUAGGGGUAAACCUGAGAAACCCGAAAGGUCGAAGGGAGAAAUUCAUUCGCGUUUCGCCGUCGGCGUGAGACGGGGUUGUGUGACGGAGAACGUUCGCGCGUUUUCCGCACCUUUCGUUUUUCGAACUGAUGGCGAACGCGUGCACUUUUCUCCUGGUAGGACGUCGCGAUCCGUUGGGUGUCGGUCUACGGCUCGUGGUGGAGCCCGACAGUACGGCUUGCCGUUACGGUCGGACCCACGUGUCCCGGCUGACUCGCUCGACGGUAUACGAAAGGUUUAAGGCCGCUCUAGGAGCGUUCGACUCGUGGCAAGCGCGUCAGAUGUGUGUCGGCGACCGGACCUAGUGCCGGUUCUGACCUCUGAUGACUGUUGGCCGCGAAGUUCUCGAACAGACCUCUAACCGAUCUGCGACGCUAUAGCUUUGGGUACUUUCAG
rnacentral:rRNA from 1 species